rnacentral:rRNA from 1 species
GACGAACGCUGGCGGCGUGCCUAACACAUGCAAGUCAACUUGACUGAAGGAGCAAUCUGACAGUAGAGUGGCGCAAGGGUGCGUACCGCGUAAGUAACUUGCCCAAGGUAAGGAAUAACGUCGAGAAAUCGGCGCUAAUACCUCAUAAUGCAGCGGAUCCGCAUGGAUAUGUUGUUAAAGGUUUACCGCCUUGGGAUAGGCUUGCGUCUGAUUAGUUAGUUGGUGUGGUAACGGCACACCAAGGCUACGAUCAGUAACUGGUCUGAGAGGAUGAUCAGUCACACUGGAACUGAGACACGGUCCAGACUCCUACGGGAGGCAGCAGUGAGGAAUAUUGGGCAAUGCUCGAAAGAGUGACCCAGCAACGCCGCGUGGAGGAUGAAGGUAUUCUAUAUCGUAAACUCCUGUGAGAGCAGACGAAAGACAGAAUUAUUAAUCUGGAUGACUGUAUGCUCAGAGGAAG